rnacentral:rRNA from 1 species
GGCGGCGUGCCUAAUACAUGCAAGUCGAGCGGACAGAUGGGAGCUUGCUCCCUGAUGUUAGCGGCGGACGGGUGAGUAACACGUGGGUAACCUGCCUGUAAGACUGGGAUAACUCCGGGAAACCGGGGCUAAUACCGGAUGGUUGUUUGAACCGCAUGGUUCAGACAUAAAAGGUGGCUUCGGCUACCACUUACAGAUGGACCCGCGGCGCAUUAGCUAGUUGGUGAGGUAACGGCUCACCAAGGCGACGAUGCGUAGCCGACCUGAGAGGGUGAUCGGCCACACUGGGACUGAGACACGGCCCAGACUCCUACGGGAGGCAGCAGUAGGGAAUCUUCCGCAAUGGACGAAAGUCUGACGGAGCAACGCCGCGUGAGUGAUGAAGGUUUUCGGAUCGUAAAGCUCUGUUGUUAGGGAAGAACAAGUGCCGUUCAAAUAGGGCGGCACCUUGACGGUACCUAACCAGAAAGCCACGGCUAACUACGUGCCAGCAGCCGCGGUAAUACGUAGGUGGCAAGCGUUGUCCGGAAUUAUUGGGCGUAAAGGGCUCGCAGGCGGUUUCUUAAGUCUGAUGUGAAAGCCCCCGGCUCAACCGGGGAGGGUCAUUGGAAACUGGGGAACUUGAGUGCAGAAGAGGAGAGUGGAAUUCCACGUGUAGCGGUGAAAUGCGUAGAGAUGUGGAGGAACACCAGUGGCGAAGGCGACUCUCUGGUCUGUAACUGACGCUGAGGAGCGAAAGCGUGGGGAGCGAACAGGAUUAGAUACCCUGGUAGUCCACGCCGUAAACGAUGAGUGCUAAGUGUUAGGGGGUUUCCGCCCCUUAGUGCUGCAGCUAACGCAUUAAGCACUCCGCCUGGGGAGUACGGUCGCAAGACUGAAACUCAAAGGAAUUGAGGGGGGCCCGCACAAGCGGUGGAGCAUGUGGUUUAAUUCGAAGCAACGCGAAGAACCUUACCAGGUCUUGACAUCCUCUGACAAUCCUAGAGAUAGGACGUCCCCUU